AAUUAUCGUAAAUUUGUUAACGGUAAACAUGUAUAUACAGGGUGUUCCGUUGAAGUGAAACAUCCAUUGAAACGUGUCACGAGAGAUAAGAGAAGUUAGAAAGAAAAUAUUCUUAUAGAAAUUAUUUUGUGACGAUAAAAGUAUUAAUUUAAAAAGAUAUUUUGUGGUUGACGUAGUUGCUGUUUUUAAGUGGCACCAUAUCUUUUCGUUAAUAUUACACUGGCUUUUGAGACAAAUUCAACAACCUGCUAUUCGAUGGUAUUUCGUGUAAUGAGUGAUAAAUUGGAGUCACGACAGUCAGUAAAUGUCGGUUAGCUGAGUCUGACACCUUCACGUGCCAUACCGUUGCUCCUCGCAUGGUAAAGAUGCUAAUGCUGGAGUGAACAUUAAAAAUGAAAGAUUAUUCUGCUAGAUGGAUAAUUGAUCAAUGAUCGAUUUUAAUUUUCAUUAUCUACCAUUUAACUUUUAGCGCAACGUUGGAAGAUGCCGGAAGACACUUUUUACAAACAUCAGAAACUGCGGUAAAAUUACAAAUGUUACUGAAUUAAAUAAUUCAAACUUAUCAAUUCAUUGAAUCUCUAAUUACUGGAAUCACAAGAGUAAUUUAAAUACAAUGUAACUGAGUUACAAUUUGAAUCUCUGAAAAACUGAGGCGAAUUUUUAUAUUUAUGAAUAACACCAUAUUCAUCAUUAAUAGUAAUUUUUUUAUGUUUGAAACCUUUAAAAAAAACUGUGGUCUUUUCCUCCUCUCAUUGCCUCUCAAUUUGGAUAUCAUUCAGUGUAUUUCGUAAUUUUAUUUCAACUGCAUUGCAUUACGUAAUUAUAUUUCAAUUGCAUCGUAUUUUCUAAUUAUAUUUUAAUGAGAUUGUACUUUGUAAUCGUAUUUCAAUUGCAUUGCAUUUUGUAAUUAUAUUUCGAUUACGAUCACGAAUUACAUUGCAAUUUAAUUAACCGAGAGACCUAAAUUACGAAAUGCAAUGUGAUUGGGUACGACGUAAUUGAAUUUGUAAUUGUAAUUCAUGGAAUGUUUAAUUCAAUUAUUAAUAAUACACAAACGUAUAUUUCUAAACGAUGGUGGCCACAUUGAAGAAUAAGGUACAUAAAAGAAUUAUUAACAAAUUUUUCUUACUUAUAACAAUAUUUGUUUCACAUACGAUUUUUGUAAGAACAUUUUUUUUAUAACUUUGAUUUCUCGUCAGAUAUUCCAGCGUACUCACUUAAACAGAACACUUUGUACACUGUAUCAUCGUUAUAAUUACGAUUUUUAAUUAUUUAGUCAUUUGCAAAUCAAACGAUUUUUUACUUAGGCCGAUAACAUGAUAUAAACCUAUUACUACUGAAAAUAAAAAUGUAUAAUAUGCUAUUUAAAAAAAUUAAUUGAACAAGAAGUAUUCCAUACGCUCAUCGCCAAGAAAAGAACUUAUUACUGGAAUUCUACGAUUACCACAAUUCUCGGUAACUUUCAUAAACAAUAUUUUCCCUGAAUUCUAGAAAUAUCGGUGAUGCUCGAAGUGGACGCAGUUGCUAUUGCCAUAUGUUAUGGAAUUCCCACAUCUUUAAGCCUAUUUCGGUGUUCAUAACGUUUGCCCCUAACUUCGUGACUCUUUCUUGUAUUUUAUCGCGUAAUUCAUCGAUUUACGAUCAUUUUUCAUACAAAAACUUUUUCAUUUUGAUAUUCAAUAUCUUGGCUUAUUACAAUUGCUCACACAAUUCUAAUUUUUUUUAAUCACCUUUAUAUUACGUAUUUCAACUACUUUUACACGGUAAUAAAUGUUUAAUACGAAGCUGAAUAAGAAUUUGAGUAGUAAAGUGGUUGAGUAUACUUGAAAACGAUGUAGGUUAAUUUUUUAUGUGGAGCAGCCAUCUAUGGUACGCUCGUUGAGGUCCCGAACUGGAGACGACGCGUCACGAGUUCGAAUCCUCGCCCUGGUGGAUAUAUCUGCAAAGAAUGGAGACAACACCCCAGGGCCGUCGCGAUCACUCGCAGUUGGUUACGGUAAUCUGAUUCACUGUGGAGGUUUUAGCCGGUAAGAAUCCGGCACUACCUUCUGCUACCACCCUGUGUCCCCCGCCCCGCGUCACAGGGUGUAAUGAGAAGGUGUCUAUGAAGAUUUCCUCCACGUAAAAAAAAACUUUUUUGUAGUAUGAAAGGAGUGCCUUUCGGCGGCACUUACCGGAUUUUUUUUUACGAGGCUAUCCGCUCCUUCUGCGAGCAAGUUAUACUCGUAAAGGAGCGAGCAGAGAGGGAGAGAGAGAGAAAAACUCUCACCCUUGUAGGGUAACGCGGCGGAGGGUUAAUUGAACUCGAGCUGCGAAUAACAGGGAGGGUGGCACUAGGAGCAAUGGCUUUCCCUAGUGUCAGAUUAAUCAACUAGGAAACUUAUAGGAUCGGCUCAGUAAAUAGUCUUACGAAAGAACAAUGGAUUGACUUCAAUCGUGCCAUCUGGUGCCACGAGCGUGAAAAACUGUUGUAAACAGACGAUGUAAAGGUUCGCGAUCAUUGUCGUUUUACGUUUUACAUUUACAUUUGACAUGAUGUCCUACACGUCAUUCGUGUAAUCGCUUGUGUGAUAAUGAGUAGUAAUUCGUGCAAUAAAUCGUGUAAUCCAACAGCUGGAAUAUUAACACUAAGCUUAGCAGGCCUGCUGAAAUAACCGGUUUCAAAGUUUAUUUAAAAAUUGUUUACAGACAUUCCGAUUACGUCGAAUGUGGUAUGAUAAAAUAUAUUCUAAUAUGAUAAAAUAUACCACGUAUGUAGCAAACUUCGAGGCUAGAAAGUUUCGAAGGAAAUGAAUUUCGGUAUAUAUCUGUCUUGUUAAACGGAAGAUAGCCAGCAGAAAUGGUAGAAGAAAAAUAUAAAAGGGCUAAUUUUUCUCGUGAAUUUCGAAAUACGUCAAAAUGUCGCGUCACGUAAACCUGGUGUUAACAAAAAUGGAGAAAUUGAUUAGUCGGAUGAUAUAAGAAUUUACAUAAAGUUAGAUGAUCAAAAGAAAUAACAAUAAAUGCAUGAUUUUUAAUUCAAUUUUGAUUCCGGGGCUGGUAAGGUUAGAAAAUAAUAAUAUAUAUAAUAAUGAUAAUAAUAAGGUUUAGAAAUUCUCGAAACGAUGUACGAUUACUAAUGUAUGCUAUUUGCAGGUGUAAAUUGUAUAAAUUCCAUAAAAGAAUUUGGAAAAGAAUGGAAAAGAAGAGUUCAUAAAAAGAAGAAAAAGAGAAAUUGUAAUUUACAUUAUGGAACUCCGAUCGUCAUACCCGUUGUAUUCACAAUGUUUCGUCAUUAAGAAGCUCGCCAACACGUUCGAGGGUAAAAUAACUGUUAGCGCUCGCUAAAGAGACGCACAUUUCUUUCGUGAAACACUUUACAGUCACGCGUGGUAGGAGAAAAGAAUGGGUGAAGUUUCGUUUCAUCGACUGUCUCAAAUUCCUAAACUGGAGACUUGAGGAAUUCCUCGUAUUUGGAAUCGUAUUUGGAAAAGAGUAAAUUGUGUAUCGUACAAAACAUCGCGGUCAAAUAUCUUCCAGAAAGCGACUUCGAACUUCUCAACAAGAAAGCUGUCUUUCCAUACGAUUACCUAACAUUCUACGAUAAACUGUGCGAUACACGUCUGCCCACGCACGAAUCGUUUUACAAUCGAUUAUGCGACAGUCACGUAUCGAAGACAAAUUAUCUCCAACGCGGUCAACGUUUGGUCACGUUUUCACAUCGUGGAAUUGUAUUUGGGGGCAUAUAGCGACUUGUAUCUAAAAUUAGGCGUAUUAUAUUAUAAUAUAAUACAUAUUACAAAUAUGAGUUAUAUAUGAUGUAUAUUAUAUUAUAAUAUGUAUUAUAUCCUAUUAUAUUAUAAUAUAAUAUAUUAUUAUAUAUUAAUAAAAUAUGAUAUAUAAUGUAUAUUAUGUUAUAUUAUAUUAUAUUAUUGUAUAUUAUAUAUUAUAUACUGCAUUAUAUGUCAUAACAUAUAAUGUAAUAAUAACAAUAAUAUUAAAUAUUAAAUAUUAUAAUAAUACAAUAAUAUAUAUGAUAUAUAAUUGUACAGGGUAUUUCCUGCUUCUCCGGUAAAAUCGUAGGAGCAUGGUUUACAAGUAAAUAUAAGAAAAGAAUAAUAUAAACAUAACAAAUAUAAAUGUAUUUAUAUAUAUAUAAACUAUAUAUAUAAUAUAUAUUAAUACUAAACGUAAUAUAUGUAAACAAAGAAGAUAUAUAUUUACAUGUAUUCUAACAAUAAUACGGACAUAAUUUCAAGCAGAGAACCAGCGGACGGUAUUAAUCUACAUUGUCUAUGGUCUUGCCUGGCAAUUUCAAAAUUAGAUUGUGAAAAAAUGUUGGAAAAUGUAACAUUUGAUUUCAAUAAAAUUCAAAGAAUUCAAGCCGAACUAUAAGAUCACGAUAAAAAAUUUAACAAUUGACUGGUUAGCUGUUGCGAGCAUUUUGAAAACUUUGAAGAGUGCGUACCUAAAAUUUAACGCAAAGAGUAAGCGAUGCCGAGUAUAUUCAUCAAAGACAGAGCAUGUGUGACUGUAAUAAUAUGAAAUUAAACUGUAACGAAACGACUGUUUUAUUUUUUAAUUUUAUUACUAACAGUGCUCAUCAUAGCACAAAAUGUUGUACCAUUUCUUCAUAACGAAUAUACUCGUAAAAAACAGCUACCUGUUUAGGAACUGAUGUUAUAAUAGUGUUUAUUGCGCAGCAACGCAAAAUGAAAGUUCUUCUUUAUUUGAUCCCAUUCAGUUGUGCAAAUUUAAUGAUAAAUUAUAUCUCCUUCUAAAUGCUUAGUUACACGAGGAACGAGACCUGCUUACAAUCCGUGAAAGUAACCGAUAAUAUUCCGAAUAACCAGGCAAUAAGUAAAUGUGAUUGCAACAGCAAGCAUAAGACACCAACGGAAUGCGAUUCUUCUGAUGAUUACAUAAAGAUGAAGAAUAUUGAUGUUACGGCAACAAUGAACAAGAAAUUAAUUCAAAUAUUUGGUAGUUUCUACAUAUGUAUUACUGGAAAGAUUAUGUUGUGAUCGUUCCAAUUGCUUCCUCUUUUCAAUUCCAAAAUUCUUUUCAAUUUGUCUACGUGGACAUUAGACAAAUUCUUACGUUUAGUAUUGAAUUGAAUAUCACGUAGACGAUUUCUCCAUUGGGAAAAUGUCUACAGGCGAAUUCUAUCUUUCUAUCAGAUCUACCGGAUGAUCUCUCUGAAGUAUUCUCUGGAUGUGCUGGUUAUAUAAAUUGUUAAUCAAUGUGAGCUUUUAUUUUGCUUCUAUAAUUUACCACCGUUUUGAUUUUUUUUUUCGUCAACUGUAUCAAUAUUAACAACUACAUUAAUAUAUAAUAAAAAAUAAUAUAUAACAAACUAUAAUAAUAAAACAAUAUGAACCACUAUAGCAACAUUAACAACUACGUUGUUAUAUAAUAAAAAAUAAUAUACAAUAAACUAUAAUAAUAAAACAAUGUUAACAACUACAGCAAUAUUAAUAAGGAUGUCUUUCACUAACAUCGUAGAAUUGGUAUAGGUUCUUUUUUGGAAAAAUUUAAGGAAGCA